rnacentral:lncRNA from 1 species
CCAAUUUUUACAUUAGAAUUAUUGGAUUAAAGAAUUGCCCCGGUAUAUUUGUAGUCUGAAACACAGGAUGACGUUGUUAAAACUGGUACAUGGACCAUAUUAAUAAAAAAGGAGAUGUGGCAUGAUAAAAACUUACCAGCAGAGAAUUGCAUAUAGAUCACUAAAUAAAACAGUCGGACAUGUCAAUAAGAAACAAUAAAUACAAAUGUAGAUAAAAUGAAUAAUUAAAUAAUGGCAGACAAGUAUGACACAAUAAUAACAAUCCCAUGUUAAACUUUUAUUGGAAUAGUGCCUUGAUUGCUGUUCUUUAUAUGCAUAUUUCGAAUGGUUUUGGCAAUAACCAAGCAAGGAAAACUCAAAACUGCAGAGAGUGUGUUUCUUGAUUGCUGUUCUUCAUACAACAACAUUCUUCUAACACAAUAAAUGAACAAACACUGUUGACAACUUUAAAACUGACAAAUACGUUACAACUUACUGGCCGUCAUCACACAGAAAAGGAGUAGCGGAGAAUCAGAGAAAACUAUGCGGCGGCGCUGCUGUCAUACUUCGACGUCAUAAAUAUCUCCAAUGCCAACGUUAUUGUCGAAGUAUCGGCAAUACACUACAG